rnacentral:rRNA from 1 species
CCUACGGGGGACAGCAGUGGGGAAUAUUGCACAAUGGGCGCAAGCCUGAUGCAGCGACGCCGCGUGAGGGAUGGAGGCAUUCGGGUUGUAAACCGCUUUUGUCCAAGGGCAAGGCACGGUCUUUGGCUGUGUUGAGUGGAUGGUCCGACUAAGCACCGGCUAACAACGUGCCAGCAGCCGCGGGAAUACGUAGGGUGCAAGCGUUAUCCGGGUUUAGUGGGCGUAAAGGGCACGUAGGCGGUUCGUCAGGACCGCUGGGAACAUCCACGGCUUAACGGUGGGACCGCGCUGGAUACGGGCGGGCUUGAGUGCGGGAGAGGAGACUGGAAUUCCCGGUGUAGCGGUGAAAUGUGUAGAUAUAGGGAAGAACACCAGUGGCGAAGGCAGGUUUCUGGGCCGUUACUGACGCUGAGGAGCGAAAGCGUGGGGAGCGAACAGGAUUAGAUACCCGGGUAGUC